UUCCGUAUCUUGAACAUCCAAGCAUCAACUAAUUCGAAAAUCGUCUGACGCGCGAUACUCAUAGGCUUAUUGUGACGAACUACAGCUAAUUGUAGCAAAUCUUAUUUGGUUGUAUGGGAGUUGUCGAAGCACACAAGACAAGCCUCCGGUGAAUAUCAAUAAGGAGAGACAGCGCUAGGGGUAAUGGCCCCCCCUAACGCCAAUUCAAUAGUCAGGAAAUAUUAGGACUGGCUAGAACUAGAGAACGCGUGAAGGGGGUGCAACUGAAGUUAAUUCAUAAGAGAAUCCUGGAGCACCUCUGUCAUACGCGUCGGGUGGUCAUCGUGGAGUUUUAGUCGAUGGUCCAGAAUGGCGAACUACCGCAAGUAGAGCAACUAAUCGAAAUAAUAGACACGCACAUAUACGUAAUAU